rnacentral:sRNA from 1 species
UCCUCAGUAUAUCUACAUUGACAGAUUGUUGUGAAGAUGAAUUAUAAUAAACUUUUUUACUUUCUUUAUAAAAAAAAAAUCAGGAAAUAAUCACAUCAGGAAGUGGACAAAUUUAUUAGAAUGGAUACAUUCAAGACGAGAUUCAAGAAGAGUGACAAGCGAUUGAGUUUGAGAUUCGACUGACCAGAUGAUUGCAACUGCAUAUUUAAGGAAAGCAAGAACCAUAAAUGAAUUAUAUCUGUAACGACUAAAAAAAAAAAACUGGCCUUCUCAAUCAAGUUCAGCUUAAAAUGAGAGUGAGAUGUUGGCAUCUGCAUGCUAUUUUAACUAUAACAGUUGCUUUAAUCUGGAUAUCAAGUUUUUGUGCAGAAGCGGCUAUUUUUGGCUCAAUGACAGAUGAAAGUUUAUGUAAGAAAUCCUCAGAAGAAAUUAUUUGGAUAUCUGAGAAAACCAGCGCCAUCAUUAGUGGCAAAAGCAAAGAUGAGCUAAGAAAUUGUCAACUCAGGUUUGGCGUAGCUUCAGCUGAUAGAAGUGCUAGAAUUCAACUGAAGUUUGAGUUUCUUUACAUAGAAGAUUGCUUAAUACAACUGCAGAUAAAUGAAUCCUCGACAGGAGAUUUUAAAACCUCCCAGGAUAACAGGGAAA